rnacentral:lncRNA from 1 species
GAUGCGACUCAAAACCAUUAAUACAAUUUGAAUCACAUAAUGAAGAAACACAACUCGUUUAAUAAGUAGGGGAAUUACAAGAAAAACAUUUGGCAUAAAACCCUUAGUAGCAUUAUUAGUUUUAAAAAUGAUUCAUCUCAGAAUGAAAUCAGACAGAAAGAUACGCUACAUAAAUAAAUAUCAGACAUCAUGUUCCCCUUGUGUUACGUAUCAGAGCGACUCCCACUAUAGAUUCGAACGAAAGACAACUAAGAUGCACAACACCGUCCUCACCUUCAAGCUCCUACUCAGGUAUCUGAUUAUCUACGCUCCAGAGGAGACUAGACGGAAUAACAUAAAAAAUGGUGAGAAUGCAUUCACAUAAUAAACAGUGCAUAAAUAUUCAUGAUAGAUUCACACAUCUACACAAUCAUCCACAUAAUCAAAAACACACAACCAUCAAGUAUUCACAAUCUGACACACAUCAUAAUCAUACAAUCACAAACAUGCAAAAUAAUGCAAUACUGACUUGACUCAUGCUCGUCAUGUUCCCCACUUUGAACCUGACCCACAACUUAACUCUAUAUACCUGCGGUAUUGACUCAAGGUUUGGUUCUUCAUAUGAACCGGGUCCCAGUCUCUACGAACCUUGAGCCCCCACUCUGAGCUCCAAGCCCCCACUCAAGGCUUGGGACAAGCCAUUAUUCCCCCACUAUAAACUAGCAAACAUGCCUUUUUCACAAUAAUGAUACACAAGAUGAAUGUCAUACAAAGUGCAGUACAGUAUCACUCUGACUAUACAUAAUCGCUUGACAAUAUCAAAUGCAAAACAUCCCCACUCUGACUGUAAUUAAAAAUAUUUUUUCAUUGCAUCGAUAAAAUAGUUCGUAUCUCAUAUCACACGUCUCAUUCAACAAAAUAAGUAUCAUAUCAUGCUUUCACUUUUAUCACACAGUUGCUUAAUUACACAUAAGUCACAUAUAUGCAUAAUAUUACACAAUCAAUCACAUGAGUUUUGUUAAUUAACUCGUACUCAUCACAAAACACCAAACAAUAGCCAAAGCUUAACUUCCCGACAAAACAACCCUCAAAACCAAACUUAGCAGGUCAUAACACGGAUUUUGACUCGAUGAAAGGUAGCCUGUCACCAGGAUGACGCACGUCAUCCUUCAGCAUGUCACGCAUGUGAUAACCUGGCAAGGCAUUUCCACUUGGAGACCAUGACGGUGUCCCCAUCAGAUGUCUGAUGCCCGUUAGCGCUUCACAGGGCAUGAUGCCCAGGGUGUCAUAUGGGUGACGCCCGUCACCUUUCUAUUAGAAGCGGAAUUUCGUUUUACUAUGGUAGAACCUACGAAAUACACUCAAAGUCACUCUAAUUAAUUCCAAACCCCUCCAAACAGUGCAUAAACAUUACUCACAUGAUUCCCACACAAAAGCGUAUUAAUUCCUAUGAAUCUAACAUGUUAUUUCAAUGAUUUAACCACAAAAAUCCAUAAUUUAUUCAAGCUUUAGAAACCCCAAUUUUAUAACAAAACUAAUGUUUAUGAACACAUAGCAUACAACACGAUUACCCAAAUUACAGUACACAAAUUUGCAAGGAAUCACAUCAUAAAAACAGAAUUGAAAUCAUGUUAUUCAUCAAAACACACAAUCAACACAAAGAGAGAAAUUUCUAUUGGAGGUUAAGGGAAACCUCUCUACCCUUUCAUGAAUUAAGCAUCCAUAGAUGAAAAAUCCCUCCUACCUUGUAAGUCCAGAAAAUUCAUCAAUUCCACCUUCAAUUGAUCUCUCCUCUUAUGCCCUAACACUCUCCCUUCCAAGCUUUUCUCUCGUUUUCUCUUAUUUUCACGUACGGGUGAAAAUAGCUCUAAAAACCUAAUUUUGGUCUAACUUUUAAAAUAUAUAUAAUAUUUUAUUUAGUUCUUUAAAUUACACUUUUCGCCCAACUCAAUUUCAAUUUUACUACACUUACCACUAAACUCUUCCAAUUCCCAAAAUUGGCAUAGUUUUACAUAUUCUCUCUAAUUUUUAAUUAAAUAACUUAAUUAAUUCUCACUAACCCAAGUAAUUAACAGAAGACACCACAAAUAACGUCAUCGACCAAACAUAUUAUAUAUUCACAAAAAUAAUCAUUUAAAUCAAAUACUCAAUUAAAUUAAAUAAAUAAUUAAAUAAGUGAAUAAUUAAAUCAGGGUGUUACACUUCUUGAAGGUGGCAAGAAACACAAGAAACUAGGGUUUGAAUUGGAUUUCUAAAAAUGAAAGAUUUUUCAAAACCAAUAUAAUCAAACAAUAACACGAACAAAAAAAAUAACAAGGUUAUUUUUAUACUGGUUCACUAUUAACGAAGCUACUUUCAGUCCACCCUACCAAUGUGAUUUUUCCAUCUCAACAAGGACUCAAUCCACUCUAAUUGAAACAGAUCACAGACACCAUAAAGAUAAACUAUCUUAUUCUUCUUGAGUCUAUAUGACUAAAACCUAGUCACUCAAGGAAACCACUGAAAUAAUUUGAGAUUUACAAGACUGUGUUUACAAUAUUGCUUCUAAGAAAACAGAUUAAUACAAGUUAAAUACAAUGAAUUUCUCACACAAUAACAGGCAAAAACUCUAUGUGUGUUUACAAAAACUAAACACAAAAAAUCUAUACUUCAGCAAAAGCGUGUGUAUGAGAAAUAACGUGAGCGUUAGCAUUAGUAACUUCUUCCAAUUUUCCAAGUUUCCUUUAGAUAGGCAAUUAAAAGAUUCAUUGGAUGGUAGAUUUGGAAUAGCAAAUUACAAUUGUCUCUUUGUAUAACUGUUUGCAUGUAGGAGACAAAAUUGUAUAAUAGUAAUGUCCUUAGCCCACAAAAUCAACAUAGUGGAGGGAAGGGUGAUCUUGUACUGUGUACUAUUUUCUUGACACAAAACAUUUUGUUCUUAUCUUUUAAUAUUCAGAGGCUUCUGAUUAAAUGAUGUUGAAGCAUGCUUAGAAGGAUCAAGAGACUGGUUGAGAGUAUCUUCAGAACCUCGGUCUUCAGAGUCUUUACAUAGUUCCUCAGAACCUGGUCUUCAGAGUCUUCAGAUCUUGCUCUUUAGAAUCUUCUGAACUUGAGCACAUAAUCUUGAAAACAGAAAAUCCUUCAGAGGCUCUUCAAUCAGAGUCAUAGUCAGAAGCUUUAGCAUAAAUAUUCAAAGAAAUAAUGCAUUGUUAUCAUCAAACCUAAAGGCCAGAUGUAGAAACAGAUCUUGUUGUUACAUUUCUCACCAUAACAAACAUGCCUUGACACACAAUAGUAAUUCCUCCUUUUGAACUAUUAUCCAACAGUCAUAAUAAUAAUGCAUACAUGUAUAUAAAUAGUCCCCCUUCUGAACUAUUUACCAUCAUAUUAACAAUAAAUAAUUAAUCGCCAUAUAUUCAUGCAAUUAAUCAUAACACUUCACACAAUUCCAAAUAGUACAUGAUAGCACCAAUUAUCACCAAAACAACAUAAUGUCACAUAAACCAACUCAAAACGACACAACUAUGCGUUGUCACGCUUGUUAAGCGAACAUAGCAACUCACUAAGGGAGCCCUCGUUGAGAGAUGAAUCUCUCGCUAAGCGAGACUCGCAGAAAAAUAGAACACUCACUCUGCCACGCUCGCUAAGUGAACACAAUAGCUCCCUAAAUAAAGUUCUUCCUCACUGAGCGAGAUCUCUCAUACCAGAAACAUCAAAACCACAAUUUUAAUCAUUUGUGCCUCAUCAAAGCUCUAAUUUCGACCCCAAUCGAUCCCAAAUGCACAAAAUUCAAUCAUACAUGUUAAUACAAUACUAAAAUACUCAAUUAGGAACAAAUUAGCAUAUAUUACACCAAUUUGAUUCAAAAUCAUCAUCACCUUCAACAAUUUCAAUCCAACUCAUAAGAACACAAAUUUUCAGAAUUUAAUCAUAUAGUUUCACAUGAAAUUAACAUGAAAUCAAUACACGAAUUUCACACAACAACAUCAAUCAAAACAUAAUUUGCAUGUAUUCAUAAUCAAUAAUUCACAUAUAUAAUCAACAAUGAAUAAAUAGGAGAAAACCUAGAGAGGAUUAAGGAGUCCUCACUACCCUUCAUCAAUUACACCAAUAUUUGAAGCAGUUUCCCCUCUUACAUUGGAUUUUCAGUAGCAACUCUAAACUUUGGCUAUGGUGAUACACUCAAACCCCUGUUCUCGCUUCACUCCCACUUUGCCUCUUUUCUCCAAAUAAUGCGUACUGGCUACUCUUAUGUCUUCUAAUCCCUUUUUAUUAAAAACCUAAUUUAAUCUUUUACUAAUUACACACUGGCCCGACUUAUCUUGUAACUCUCACCACUUCCCUUAUUUCUUUCUAUUUUCUAUUUUCCAUCCGAAACUUCUAUUUCUAUUUAAUUUUAAUUAAUUAAAUACAGCUAUUAAUUCUAAUGAUUUUCUAAUUAUUUUAACCAUUCUAUUAACCCACAAACACCCUCACUCUACCCCACCAUAUAUCACAUACACAUACAACUCAUAAUAUAUUUAAUUAAAACUGCACCACAUACUAAAUAAUUAAAUAAAAACACAAAUGAUUUGAUUAAAUAGAUUAAUCAAAUUUCAGGGUGUUACAACUCUCCCCCACUUAGAGAAUUUUUUCCAUAAAAAAUUACCUGAAAGAAACAGAGUCGGAUACGACUCUCUCAUCAGAAUCUCCAGCUCCCACGUCAUGAUGCCUCUAACAGGUCCUCUUCACACCACCUUUACCAUUGCAAGAUCCUUCCCUCUCAAGUGCUUUACUUUACAAUCCUAUACUCUCAAGGGAGAUGUCUCAAUAGUCAAGUUCUCUCUAACUUACACAUCGUCCACUUGAAUCACAGGAGACGGAUCAUGAAUAUACUUCCUCAACGUGUUCGCAGUUGAUUUUGGCGAACAACCUCUGGUUUUCCAAAAACUCGUCGAAUUGGGUUACUUGCAGGAUCAACCAUACAAAUCCUAGGACAUGUGCAAAUUUAAAUAACUUUGUAAAUCUCUAGAAAGACCUUUGUAUCCUUUAUUUGGUUUACUAAGUCUUUCAUGUCGAAAAAUAUUGACUAGAAGUGCGUAAGUAAAAGCAAAGUUAACAAGACUAAGAUAGAUGGCGAAAAAUAAAUAGCGAAGCAUAAAUUAUCGAAGAGUAAAUGCAAAGGGUAAAUGACUGAUAAAAGUAAAGGAACAUUGGUAAAGAACUUUGAAAUUUGUAAGAUAAAACUUUAAAGAAAUGGUGUUGUUCACACGUACAUGUUCCAGAUAUGACUCUUUUCUCUCACACGGGUACUUUGAGUAUUUUGUAGGAAUUUUGUACAAGUUUUUCACACACACUUUUUCUGAUAACAACUAUCCUAUUUAUAUACAAACAAAAUAACUGUUAUUAACGAAUAAAUCCUAAAACUAUGACAUUUGGCUCUUCUGUAUGACUUCCUUUCGCCAGGUGCUUCCACGCGUCUUCUGCCAAACGUCAUAACUCUUUUGAAUUUGAAUUUAUGCUUUACGUCGAAAUGAUGCGUCUCUUCAGACUUGUCGAAUUUGUGGAAAUACCAUAACAUCAUCUAUACUUGUCAAAGACGUCUUUUCAUUUGCAAACAUCUUCUCUUGUCGAAAUGUCGAACCAUUAAUCUGUCGAAGUGUCAAAAAACACUUAUCAACUAAACUGUUAAUUUCAUGGCAUCAUUUGUCGAAAGAACUAUUUUGCAUACUAAUCUCAUGGCGUCAAAAACGCAUGUAUACAAAUUGCCCCCCAACAAAGAUGUUUCGACUAUUUUGGAGAAACAGUCAUUUGUUGUCAACCAGUGUUUUGAUGCCAUGUCAUUUAAUUUCAUUAUUUCCAAGUUUUUUGUAAUCUCAAGUUCCCAUACGGAUUCAUCAUUACACUUUCUCCAAGAUGUCACGUCUAGCCCACGUUUAGACCUUACCUCCAUCAUUUCCUAACAUCAUGGCCUUUUUCAACUUUUUCUUCGACACUUUGUAUCCAGACGCAAAUUGAGCAAGGUCAUUCGCCUCUUGAUUCUCCACCCUGGGAAUGUGCCUAAAGGCCACAUUGUCGAAUUCCUUGAGAAGUCUAUUGGCUAUUACAAAGUACAUGAUUAAAUUUUCUUUCACGCACUUAUAUUCUUUGGUCAACUGCUUUAUCACCAGUUCAGAGUCACCCAUUAUUUCGACUCUUGUUGCCCCCAAUUUCAACAAUAUUUCAAGUCCAGCAAUCAAAGCUUCAUAUUCUGCUUCAUUAUUUGAACACCAGACUUUCAACUUUGUACUUGAAUUUGUUGGAAUUCUGUCAGGAGAAAUAAUCAACAUCCCAACACCAGUUUCAUUCUUAUGACUGGAACCGUCGAAAUACAAUUUCCAUGGUUCUAAUUCGACAUACUCUACAUUCUCAUCUAUAGAGUGGUCAGCUAUAAAAUCAGCAACCACUUGUCCUUUCACAGCCUUUAAAGGCAAUAUUUCAAGGAAUAUUCUGUUAAAGCUAAAGCCCAUUUUCCAAUUCGACUAUGUAAAUAGAUUUAGAUAACAUAUAUUUUAUUACGUCGAAAUGGGAAGAAAUGUAUACAUCAACAAGCUUUAUAUAAUGCUUUAAUUUCAUACAAGAAAAAUAUACACAUAAACAUAGUUUUUCUAUAAUACUAUAUCUAGUUUCAGCAUUAUUUAGGAUUCUACUGAGAUAAUAGAUGGCUCUUUCGACGCCAUUCUCAUCUUCUUGACACAGCAUACUUCCUAGUGUUUUGUCUGAUGCCGAAAUGUACAAUCUCAUACUUCUUUUUCUACAAGGAGACAUUAGAAUUGGAGGACUAGUCAGGUAUUCCUUGAUUUUGUCAAAAGCAGCUUGUUGUUCUUGCCCUCAUGCAAAGUCUUCCUUCUUUAGUUGAAGUAGAGGAGAGAAAGCUUGCGUUUUUCCACUAAGGUUGGAGAUAAACCUUAUGAGAAAGUUGAUUUUUCCUAGCAGAGACUGCAGCCCCUUUUUCGUUGAUGGCGCUUUCGCCUCCAUUAUGGCUUUGGCUUUGUUUUCGUUUAUUUCGAUCCCCUUCUUGUGGACCACAAAACCUAAGAAAUCACCCGCCUGCACACCAAAAGCACAUUUAAGAGGAUUCAUUUUUAAACCAAACUUCCUCAUCCUUUCAAAGGAUUGUCGAAGAUGGUCUAUAUGACUUUUUCCUGAAACAGACUUGAUCACAAUAUCGUCAAUGUAUACUUGCAUGAAAGUUUCAAUAAAGUCAUGAAAAAUGGAAUUCAUAGCCCGUUAAGUGCCAGCAUUUUUUAACCCAAAGGGCAUUACUACCCAUUCGUACGUUCCUAUUGCUCCAGGACAACGGAAAGCUGUUUUAGGAACAUCUUCUUCAGCAAUAAAAAUUUGAUUAUAGCCAGAGUAUCCAUCUAGCAUACUUAAAUACUCGUGGCCUGCUGCAGAAUCUAUAAGCAUUUCUGCCACUGGCAUAGGAUAUUCAUCAUUUGGGGUAGCUGAAUUUAAGUCUCAGAAAUCAAUGCAUACCCUAAGUUUGCCAUUUUUCUUAAUUACAUGAACUAUAUUUGCAAUCCAUUCGACAUACCUGGUUGUGCGGAUGAACUUGCAUUUCAGAAGUCUUUCGACCUCUUCUUUUAUUUUCGACAGAAUCUCUGGUGCGAAGCGUCUUGGGGUCUGCUUUACUGGCUUCUUUCCUUCCAUUAUUGGCAGCUGCAAUUCGACCAAACUUCUAUCUAAUCCAGGCAUCUCGUCGUAAUCCCAUGCGAAGCAGUCUUUGAACUCUUUCAGCAAUUGGACUAUUUCGACUUUGAACUGGGGGUCCAUAUUUGCGCUUAUGUAGGUUAGUCUGCUUUCUGCCCCUAUUCCUAGAUUUAUUUCUUCUAAUGGAUCCUGCGCCACCAUCUUCACGUUAGCUGACACCAGAUCUUUUUCGAACCCCAGAGGUUCGUCGUCAUAAAUGGCGUCAAGCUUUUGGUGUUGCCAUUCGCCCAUUUGGUUAUUAUCAUAAUCUUCUGCAACGUCUCUUUGGGGACAUUGUUCGUUGGAAUCUUCUUUGUUGGCUUCGACAGCCAUAUAUUUUACUUCAGCCUCAAGGGCCUCUUUGAGUUUGUUUUCGGCUAUAUAAGCCGUAAUUCUUUCGAGCGCUGCUUCUUCACUCGUCAUCGUCAAAUUCGCUUCCCCAUCCUGUUGGCGCUAUAUGAGUAGUUCCCCACAUGUAAGAUUUGCCAAUUACUUCUUUGUCCCACUGAAAACCAUGUGUAGGAUGAAGGUACAUGGAGCAGUAGGCGUUGUUUGUUGCUUUUAGGUCGAAUUCGGUUGGGCUGCACGGAGGUAUGUGAGCCAGGUUCUUGUCGAAACUUUGACUGUUGACAUUGUUUACUUCUGUCAUGAAAUAGCUUUGAUCAGCCUUAAUGUUUUCGACAAUUCUGUCUGGCCUCCAAAUGGCUAUUCGCUGAUGCAUUGAAGAAGGUACGACUCCUACACCAUGAAUCCACUCCCUUCCAAGUAGUAGGUUGUAAUUCGCCCUUGAAGCAAUGACCAUGAACAUUGUUGGCCUUGUUAUGGUUCCAACAGUCAAAUUCACCUGGAUAACGCCCAUAGUGGUUCCUACUUUUCCUUCAUAGUUCGACAGCACCAUGUUGUGAGGUUUUGCGUCUGAAUCAUCCUUCCCAAUCUUCUUUAGCAUGAAAUGAGGCAUCAAAUUUACUGCUGCUCCGCCAUCUACCAGAAUCUUGUUUACACCAACAUUCUCCACCUUUCCUUUUAUGAACAAAGGCUUUAAAUGUGCCUUCAUGGAAUCAUCUGGCCUUUCGAAGAAAGCAUUCUGUUCUUCGACGCACCCAUUGUUCAUGACGUAGUAGCAAACGGGCCUGUGUACCAUUAUUUCCUCUUCCAUCUCAUCUUCCUUGUCUUCGACCUCCAUGAUUCUAUCAUAAUCUCUAGGGAGGACAGAAACCACAUUGCAGAUCACAUUAAAGGACGCUUCUGAGUCAGAUUCGAAGUUGUCAGUUAUUUCGUCGUCUUCUUGCAUCUUCUCUUUCGACACCACUGGUUCGACAAUGCUGUCAGGAUUGAUCUGGUGGGAAGUCUCCUUUCUGCUUACUAUCUGAACAUUGUUACUAGAUUCUGCUUUAUCUUUGCUGUCAGCAUCUUUUCCAUUCACGCUUUUUUCUGCAGCUUCUUUUUCUGCCCUCUUCUGCCUUUGGAAUCUUCUCCAUUGGGAUCUUGACAUAGGGUUUUUUCCUUUGUAGUUUUCUGAAGGAUAUGGUCUUGGCUUGUGCUUUUCCACUUCCUUCUUACCUUCCAUCGAAAUGCCUCUCUGAACUUCAAAAUUUCUCCAUUUUUUCUGUCCUUGAGCGUCUCUGAUGGGUUGAACCCAUUUGUCAUCCAUUGCUUUGUUGGAUGGUUUGUAAGUGCUAUGAUGUCUUUCUCCAUGCCUCCAUUGGUGAUGAUCACUUUUUCUUGGGUCAUAUCCUGUUGUCCCCCAGUUUUCUUUUCUCUUGGCUUUAUCCAACGCUUCCAGAUUUGUUGCUGCCUUGCUGUCGAAGAUUGCACUGCAACGUGGGCAUAACAUCACUUCAGUUCCCAUCUUUUGGCACCUCUUGAUGAAUUCCACUAGAUUUUCCUCUUCUUUAGGAUAUGCCAGCCUUUGGUACUCCUUUCGACGACGAUCCUCAUCCACUUCAACCUGGUUUCUCUGAGAUACUUCCACCAUAUUUACCCCAACAUUUCGUCCGUCAGCAAUGCUUAAUUCGUUCAUUUUUUUAAUGAGUCUUUCUUCUUCGACUUCGACACCUCUUGGUAUCUGGUCAAACUCCUUUUCUGGGCAGUAACACCAAGAUAUGUUCCUGGGACCAUGUUUGCAACAACACUUGUUCCAAUUUCUUUUGGGGUCCUCCAUUACCCUACGCAGGAUUUCACUGAUCACAAGCUUCAUAAGACCAUCCACGACUUCUGGUUUGAUUCUUGUGACUUCUUUACUGAAAGGUCCCAUAGUGUUGACGCAGUCUGCGACAUCACCUAACUUCAUUUGAUCAGGAUCAAGGCCUUCAGUAGCCUUGUUUUUACUAGUGAGGUCUUCAGUGACCUUCUUUUUGAUGAUAGGGAGAUUCUCAGUUGUCUCAAUUGUUUUUUCGUUGUUGCUUAAAGGUAAAUUCCCCCACCCUGUUGGCUGGAUUGCGUUGAUGUCGAUACGAGAACUUGCAGGCGCAGUGUAUUUCGCAAGAUAAUCGUACUUCACACUUGGCUGUCCCAAGCAAUCCCAAUUUGCUCCUUGUCGAACCAAAACACCUUCAGCAAUAUUGUCAUUGUCUUUUUUGUCGAAACCUUCAGUAGCUUCCAUCUUUUUCUGGUCGUCAAAGCCUUCAGUAACUUCAACUUUGUUCUGGUUUGUAAGAUCAUCAGCAAUCUCAACCAUGUUGAUAUUAGUGUCGAAACCUUCAGCAGCUUCCACCAUUUCAAAAUUGUCGUCAGGAGCAACUUCGACCUCUACCACAUUCACAAUGGAUGGUUCAGCAUAAUGGGCUUCGACUGGCUGCAUGGGGUUCGAAUCGAUCCUCAUCUGUUGUUUUGGCUUAUCACCAAACUUCAGCCUUCCAUCACGGAUAGCAUUUUGAACGAGAUCCCUGAAAAGGAAACAACGAGACGUUUUAUGGCCCAUAAAGUUAUGUUAUUUACAAAAACCUCUCUUUUUCUGUUGUUCCACAGACGGUUCUUUAGCGCCUGGCGGUUUUAUUAAUUGACCAUCUUUAACCAAUAAGUCAAAAAUCUCGUCACAUUUGGUGAUGUCGAAGGUAUAAGUUCUUUUAGGAAACUUAUCGUUGGUUUCGACUGGGUUUCCGUUCGACGGAGUUAAUACUUUACACGAAUAUGAUGGGCCUUGCUUUAGUUCUGCUAAGUCAAUCUCUUGUUUGUCGAAGUUACUUGAUUCGUUUUCGUCGUAUUCAUCAUCCUGACGUACCCCCACAUAGGCCACCCUUUCUUUUUUAUUUUUAUUUGCUCUAAAUUUUUCAUCCCUCAACCUUUCGACUUGUCUCACCCUAUCUGCUAAUUGCGCCAUAUCCCUUAAAUACUGAGUGUCUAGUUUCUUUCUUAUAGAAUAAUCUAGGCCCCCCGCGGCCAUUUCGACUAACUCAUGUUCUGGCACCUUAGUGAAACACCUGGCCUUUAGCAACCUGAACCUAUUUAAAUAAUCAUCUAUUGGUUCUGAGUACUUUCUCUUAACACUGGCUAAUUCCUUCAGACUUAUUUUGGUUUGUCCCAUGUAAAAUUGUUCAUGGAAUAACCUCUCUAAUUGGGUCCACGUAUACACUGAGUUUGCAGGCAAGGAUAUAAACCAAGUAAACGCGUUUUUCGUCAAUGAACUAGGAAAGUAUUUUAUUUUCAAAUUUUCAUUACGGGCUAUCUCUCCUGCUUCAAUCAGAUAACAUGCUACAUGUUUUAUGGUGGAUUCACUAGUAUCCCCUGAGAAUUUGGUGAAUUUAGGAACUUUCCAUCUUGGGGGUAAUUCUUCUUGCAGAAUAUAUUCCGACAGUGGGGAAGCGUAACUAGGCCUUUGUAAUCCUACGUUUACCCCGUUUUGUGCCAUUAUCGUCUCGACCAUGGCCGCUAAAUUGUUUUCGACAGGCAAGUUAUUAUACCGAAUUCGCUGUUGCAACACAGUAUCAGCGUCUUGACCUCUCUGGAUUACUAUCCUUCUAGGCUCUUAUGGGGUAGGGAUUUCGACACGAGGUUGUUCGACUACGUCCCCUUGGUUUCUGACGUUUGCGUGGGGAUUAUCUAAAGGAAUUUGAUUUAUUGUUCUUGGACCGCCACUACUGGGUCUUGAACCACUUGCUCUCUGUGUCGAUUUUGAGGGACCCCAAAAAAGUCAACGAUGUGCGUCAUUUGCGCUGCCAAUAAUUGGUUUGUUUGGGUGGUGUUUUGUAUUAGAGGAUUAAACACCGCCCCCAUUUGUUGUGUCAACAUUUGGACCAUAUCAUGAUUACUCUCGUCCAUUUGUUGUCCAAUUACUUGUGCAGAAUUAUUUGUUAUUGUCGGCAUGUAAAGUGGUUGUUGGUUCAGUCUACUCAUGUUCCCCCCAUAUCCUGACCCCUGUACUGGUGAAGACAUAUUGGCCAUAGAAUCAGAAUACAAUACCGGCGAAUUGUGUAAAUUUGUCAUUACCGAAGUUGGCAUUCCAAAUGGUUGCUCCCUACCAGGCAGGGGCAUGGUGAAAUUUGUCACAAAAGGCCUAGAAGUAUUCCCUAUAGGAGGGGGUGUCCCAACAGGCAUUUGUUGCGCCCUAAUGGACGAACUAGGCGCAUUUUGCGAUAUUGAAACCGUUGGUAUUGAUGGUGAAAUUUGUCACAAAAGGCCUAGAAGUAUUCCCUAUAGGAGGGGGUGUCCCAACAGGCAUUUGUUGCGCCCUAAUGGACGAACUAGGCGCAUUUUGCGAUAUUGAAACCGUUGGUAUUGACCCGGUUGACGAAGACACAGCCUUUGACACAGGGACUGAUCCUACAUUGCCUCUUGUCGAAGGGACAGGGUUGGAUACUGGGACGACUUCAUUUGGAUUAGAAUUAUUUGGAUUAUUUGGCUGACUUGCCAUUUUCCUUACUCUCGUUCGUUUAGGUCUUUCUUCGCCAGAUACGGCUAAUUUACCGCUUCUUAGUCACAUACAACGAAGAAGAAACCUUGAGUAGAGAUUAUUUAAGUUUUAGAUUUUUGCACUAGUCCCACUGGGCGUGCCAAUUUGUUCGCGGUUGAUUUUGGCGAACAACCUCUGGUUUUCCAAAAACUCGUCGAAUUGGGUUACUUGCAGGAUCAACCAUACAAAUCCUAGGACAUGUGCAAAUUUAAAUAACUUUGUAAAUCUCUAGAACGACCUUUGUAUCCUUUAUUUGGUUUACUAAGUCUUUCAUGACGAAAAAUAUUGACUAGAAGUGCGUAAGUAAAAGCAAAGUUAACAAGACUAAGAUAGAUGGCGAAAAAUAAAUAGCGAAGCAUAAAUUGUCGAAGAGUAAAUGCAAAGGGUAAAUGACUGAUAAAAGUAAAGGAACAUUGGUAAAGAACUUUGAAAUUUGUAAGAUAAAACUUUAAAGAAAUGGUGUUGUUCACACGUACAUGUUCCAGAUAUGACUCUUUUCUCUCACACAGGUACUUUGAGUAUUUUGCAGGAAUUUUGUACAAGUUUUUCACACACACUUUUUCUGAUAACAACUAUCCUAUUUAUAUACAAACAAAAUAACUGUUAUUAACGAAUAAAUCCUAAAACUAUGACAUUUGGCUCUUCUGCAUGACUUCCUUUCGCCAGGUGCUUCCACGCGUCUUCUGCCAAGCGUCAUAACUCUUUUGAAUUUAAAUUUAUGCUUUACGUCGAAAUGAUGCGUCUCUUCAGACUUGUCGAAUUUGUCGAAAUAUCAUAACAUCAUCUAUACUUGUCAAAGACGUCUUUUCAUCUGCAAACAUCUUCUCUUGUCGAAGUGUCGAACCAUCAAUCUGUCGAAGUGUCGAAAAACACUUAUCAACUAAACUGUUAAUUUCAUGGCAUCAUCUGUCGAAAGAACUAUUCUACAUACUAAUCUCAUGGCGUCAAAAACGCAUGUAUACACAUCGGAGACACGUGAAAGACAUCAUGAAUAUUAAAAAGAAACGAUGGUAACAAAAAUUUGUAGGUCACGUCUCCUACUCGCUUCAUAAUAUGAUAAGGACAAAUGAAAUAUGGUGUGAGCUUUCGAGAUUUCAAAGCUCGACCAACACCAGUUACCCGAGUAACUCGCAAAAAUAUAUGAUCUCCUUCUAGGAACUUAAGUGUUUUACUCCUUUUAUUAUGGUAGCUCUUCUAGAGACUCUGUGAAGCUUUCAUCUUCUAUUGGAUCAUCUUGAUCUUCUCUAAGGUUUAUUGCAUAUUCUUAGAUCCAAGCACAACACUUUCUCCAAAUUCAUACCAACACAAAGGAGUUAUACACCUCAUACCAUACAACCUCACGAACGAUGUCAUUCCACUACUAGAAUGAAAACUGUUGUUGUAGGUGAACUUAAUCAAUAACAAGUAGUUAUCCUUUGUACCUCCUUGAUCUAGCACACAAGCCCUCAACAGAUCUUCUAAGGAUUUGAUAAUCCUCUCUGUCUGACCGUCCGUUUGCGGAUGAUAAGCAAAACUCAACUGCAACUUAGUGGCCAACGCUUCCUGCAAUCUCGAAUCUUUAUCAAAAACAAUACUCGAAGGAAUAAUAUGCAAGCUAACAACCUUCUCAAUAUACAUUUCAACCAACUUCUGCAAUGAAUAGUUUAUCUUAAAAUAAGCCGAUUUAGUCAGUCUAUUAACUAUAACCCAGAUGGAAGCACAUUCUUUCAUUGUCUUUGGCAAGCUCAUCACAAAGUCCAUGGAAAUGUUAUCCCCUUUUCACUCAGCAAUGCUCAAUGUUUUCGUCAUACCCAACGACUUCUGAUGUUCAAUCUCCGACUUAUAACAAGUCAAACAAGCAUAAACAAACUUAACUACUUCCUUCUUCAUUCCUGGUCACCAAAACAUUUUCUUCAAGUCUUGAUACAUCUUAGUGGCACUGGGAUGAAUACUCAUACCACUCUCAAAACCUUCCUCAAGAAUUCUCUUCUUAAGUUCUGGUACAUAUGGUACACAAACCCUGUAUCUGAAUCUCAUCACACCAUUCUCGUUGAUUCUUACCUUGAUUGAUUAACACCAACCAGACGAGCAAUCCCAAGUCGAUUAUGCGACCUUCUCUGAUUUCUUCAAGGAUGCCAUUGGCCAGCUUUAAUGUACCCAACUUUACAUUGUUAGGAGUCUCUUCACACACCAAACUCAUGUCUCUGAAUUGCUUAACCAGUUCUAAUUCCCGAACCAUAAGCAUUGACAUAUGCAACAACUUUCUACUCAAUGCAUCAAUAUAACAUCGACUUUACCCGAAUGGUAACUCAAGCCAAAACCAUAAUCCUUCAAAAAUUCGAGCCACCUCAUUUGCCUCAUAUUUAUAUCUUUCCGAUCGAACAAGUAAUUCAAACUCUUGUGGUCACUGAAUACUUCAAAUCUGAAACCAAAGAGAUAAUGCCUCCAGAACUUAAACACAAAUUCCACGACUUCCAACUCUAGAUUAUGCAUUGAGUAAUUCCUCUCAUGAACUUUCAAUUGUCUAGACACAUAAGCCAUAACCUGACCAUUUGGCAUCAACACACCACUUAGACCCAUCUUCAAAGCAUCACAAUACACAACAAAAGAUUCACUCAGAUUCGGCAAAAUUAAAACUGAAGCAAACAUCAACAUCCUCUUGAGUUCCUGAAAACUCUCUUCACACUAAACAUCCCACACAUAAGCUUGACACUUUCGAGUCAACUGAGUCAAAAACCGUGUCAACUUCAAAAAUCCUUUAAUAAACCUUCUGUAAUAACCAGCCAAACCCAGGAAACUUCUAAUCUUAGUGACAGACUUCUGGGUCUUCCACCGUAACACAACAUCAACCUUCGAUGAUCGACAAUAAUACCACCACUAGAAAUUGCAUGCCCAAGAAAACUCACUUCACUCAACUAGAACUCACACUUGGAUAUCGUUGCAUACAACUUAUUUUCUUUCAAGUCUGUAUCACAACCUUCAGAUGCUCCGCAUGCUCUUCAUCAAAACUUAGAAUAUACAAAAAUAUCAUCGAUGAACACUACCACAAACUGAUCUAGAUAAGGAUGGAAAAUCCUACUCAUAUAUUCCAUAAACACACCAAGCGCAUUAGACACCUUAAACGGCAUCACAGAAUACUCAUGGUAACCAUAUCUCAUUUUGAAUGCAGUAUUUAGAAUGUCUUUGAACUUCACACGAAUCUGAUGAUAACUUAAAUGCAAAUCAGUCUAACUGAACACACUAGCACCAAACUGUCAUACUCCAAAAUUGUCCCUACUUCUUUAACUUUUUAUUUGGCUCAUGGCUCAUUUCAUCUGCAUAUUCAUAUAACAUAAUCAUCCAUCAUAAUACAUUCAUCUAUAGUUGCAUUUUUCAAAUAACCAAUCAUUUGAUUCAAAGGUUUCUUGCUAUUUAGGAUACAAGGCAUUGAGGUAUGAUUUGCAAGUUUAUGGUCAUGAUGCUUCAUCUUGACAUUUUGGACUGUGGAUACAAUAAAUUGGUGAUUGAUCUUGGUUCUUGAGUUAAGUUCUCAUGAGAACCCUAAUCCUUGGUGUUGGAGGUGUGGUCAUAUUAGUUACACCUUGACAUUGAGAUUUGGGUUUAUAAUCUUACUUAGUGAUCACCUUUGAGUGAUGUUUGAUUCAAUACACGGUCAUUUUAUUAAAAUAUUCAAGAUUAAUUCAGAGUCAAGUGCAAGAGUUCAAGAUUCAAAUGUUCAGAUAAAUUCAAUUUUGGAGGGAAACUAUGAAGCGCACACACACAUUUCAUUUCAAAAGAGAAGUCAUUUGUCAUUACAAAAGCAUCCAAAUCAAAUUAUAAGACUAAUUACCUAAUUACAUCAUUUUUUCCGAGUGUUGACUUUUUGGUCAAACAGUUGACCAAAGACAAUAACUACUCCUAAGCACUAGUCCCAUUUAUCACCAUUAUACAUUAACAUUUUAACACUCACUUACUAACUAAUCUUUUACUCCUAGCAAUGCAAAUAGCCACUAACUAAUUUUCAUCACAGUAACUAAAUACUACACUAAUUGCUACAAUAAUUGUUUUUAAAUUCAAAUAAAGUCUAACUAAUCCAUUUCAUAACUAACCUAACUAACUUCUAAAUAAUCUAAAUAACCUGUAAAUCAACUUAUUAACAUAAUUGUUAUCAAUUCAAAUGUCUUUACAAAUUCUAGCAAAUUCCAAUUAACCAACUAUUCCACUUAACUAACCUACUGCAUACACAAUUAAAUCUAUCCAAUUUUUUCACAAGUAACUUCAAUACUAACAACUAACACUUAACUGAAACUAACAGAAUUUUAAAUCUGUUAAAUUCCUAAAAAAAAUCCUCUUCAGUCAUUAACAAUUAACCUUGCCCUAACACAUAACUAUCAAUGCCCGAAUUUCUGCCCAAAAUAAUUGCAAGAUUUCUCUAUAAAUCAGUUCAUCUCUUCAACAAUCAAAAAGGAUGAUUCUAUCUCAAUCACUCUCAAUUCUCUCUGAUUCUCACUCCAUAAGUUUCUUCCACUACUCUCAAUCCAUUCUCUCUGAAGCUCUUUCUCUCUCUCUCUGCAAUAUCACACACAUACAGAGCAAUGACCAUAGCAUAACCUAUAGACUAGGAAAAUUAGAGAAGAAGAAGAAGAGGAUCAUUGCAAUAACUAAGAAGUAGAUAUUCAGAGAAUUACCUGUUGUGUCUAUAGUAUUUUCUUGAUCCAUUUGAAUCGGCCUCAAGAUUGAAUGAACUCUCCAUUUUGUAGGUCCGUUGCUCCCUUGAAAUUCAUCAUCUUCGUUCAUAAUUUGUUUCCACAGUGUAGCCUGAUAGCAAAGAGAC